GGAUCUCCCAUAUGGUAGACAGGAGUCCAAACGCUUGAGCCACAUCACUUCCCUCACUAUUUUAAUAGGUGCUUCUCAGCCCUGUGGAGUCAGGAGUUCAUGGCUUCCCUGCUUUUCCUCUUUUAGGGUGGCUGAUUGCCACAAUACUGGCUUCUUUGCUUUAUGCAAA
ensembl:misc_RNA